rnacentral:tmRNA from 1 species
GGGGGUGAACCGGUUUCGACGGAGCGUGUGAGCAACUACCUGCCAUUCAAGGUUGAUCGAAGGGCCUUGUGAAAAAUCGAUCAAAAAACAACUGCUAACGAAAACUUAGCACUCGCAGCCUAAGGGCUGUGCGGUUCGCGAUAAACUUCGCCGGUAGGGUAUCGUAGAGCCGUCGACAAAACUGGCUGGAUGUUUCACGGGUCCCCUGGCGUGAAACGUCGAGAUAAACCAGACGGAUCGGGUGAGUAGUAGCCUGCCUGUGAGUUGUGAAAGCCCUAAAUUAAUAAAUCGCAGGACAUAAUGGUAGACGGUGCUUGUGAUCCUCUUCGGACGCGGGUUCGAUUCCCGCCACCUCCAACG